AGUCUGCAACUCGACUACAUGAAGCUGGAACCGCUAGUAAUCGCGGAUCAGAAUGCCGCGGUGAAUACGUUCCCGGGUCUUGUACACACCGCCCGUCACACCAUGGGAGUCAGUAACGCCCGAAGCCGGUGACCCAACCUGAUCAGGGAGGGAGCCGUCGAAGGCGGGACGGAUGACUGGGGUGAAGUCGUAACAAGGUACC
rnacentral:rRNA from 1 species